GACGAACGCUGGCGGCGUGCUUAACACAUGCAAGUCGAACGGAAAGGCCCUGCUUUUGUGGGGUGCUCGAGUGGCGAACGGGUGAGUAACACGUGAGUAACCUGCCCUUGACUUUGGGAUAACUUCAGGAAACUGGGGCUAAUACCGGAUAGGAGCUCCUGCUGCAUGGUGGGGGUUGGAAAGUUUCGGCGGUUGGGGAUGGACUCGCGGCUUAUCAGCUUGUUGGUGGGGUAGUGGCUUACCAAGGCUUUGACGGGUAGCCGGCCUGAGAGGGUGACCGGCCACAUUGGGACUGAGAUACGGCCCAGACUCCUACGGGAGGCAGCAGGGGGAAGUAUUGCACAAUGGGCGGAAGCCUGAUGCAGCAACGCCGCGUGCGGGAUGACGGCCUUCGGGUGGUAAACCGCUUUCGCCUGUGACGAAGCGGGAGUGACGGUAAUGGGUAAAGAAGCACCGGCUAACUACGUG
rnacentral:rRNA from 1 species